rnacentral:tRNA from 1 species
AACAACAUAGUUUAAUUUAUGAGAAUUGGUGUUCUGCAAACAUUAGGUGGGGUUUCUUGUUGUUG